rnacentral:lncRNA from 1 species
ACUGUACCCUGCACUGGUUGAGCCCCACCGUGCGGUUUGCAAAGUUUCAGCCCAGCAUCAGGAAGCUAAGUAGAGAAGCAUGGGUUUGGAGCCAGAGGCAAUGACCGCCAUGGGGAAGCCACCUCUCAACGGUGAAGAAACUGAAGUUCAGAGGGGUCGUGACUAGCUUUAGGUCACCCAUCUGCUGAGUGAAGAAGCCCAGACUGAUCCCGUUCUCUGGCUCCAGACAGUGCCUUUAACUACUGGACUCUACUGCCCUCUAGUGGAACUCCUGGUAUUGCGUUGUCUCACUGACACCUUGCUUUCAGAUGGUUCCAGUAGAUCUGGAAUUGGCUGAGUUCAUUCAGAUACUGCCGGUUCAGCCUCUCUGAUGAAGGUGCAGUGGGAAAUUCUCUAAGGUCUGAGUUCCCGUGGUGGAGCAGCAGAAAUGUGUCCGACCCAUGAGCAGAAGAAGAAAAAAUAUUGGAGUUCCUGUAGUGACUCAGCAGAAACGAAUCUGACUACUAUCCAUGAGGACACAGGUUCGAUCCCUGGCCUCGUUCCGUGGGG